rnacentral:rRNA from 1 species
UCAUUUAAGAAUUUUAACUCAAAAUAUAAAUUAUAAUUUUAAACUUGAAACAGUUUUAAUUUCAUUUAUUCCUUUAUUCUAGUUUUCAUUUAAAAAACAAUUGAUUAUGCUACCUUAGCACAGUCAAAAUACUGCGGCUAUUUAAUUUUUUAUAAUCAUUGAGCAGAACUAAUCUUAAAAUAUUAUC